rnacentral:rRNA from 1 species
CACGUAGGCACCAAACGUUGUCCGGAUUUAUUGGGCGUAAAGAGCUCGUAGGCGGUUCAGUAAGUCAGGUGUGAAAUCUUUGGGCUUAACCCAAAGCGUGCACUUGAUACUGCUGUGACUUGAGUUCGGUAGGGGAGUGGGGAAUUCCUAGUGUAGCGGUGAAAUGCGCAGAUAUUAGGGGGAACACCGGUGGCGAAGGCGCCACUCUGGGCCGAAACUGACGCUGAGGAGCGAAAGCGUGGGUAGCAAACAGG